UUCAAGUUCUCAAGAUGUCACCAUAGCUCUUCAUCAUUACCUUUUAAGAGUUCAGAUAAACGUGAAAGCGUAGAGUGAAUUCCCACAGAGCUAUUAUCUAAUUGUUGACAGAAAUGGUCCACAGAAUCACUCAUCACUCCUUGCUUCUAGAAAUGCAGCAAGAGGAAUUACAAAUUUGAAGCUUCUUAUUUCUCUAGCUUGUGAUGUAUGCCUCAGGCGACAAAUGCAUGCAAAUGUCAAGCAAGGAUCUGAAAGAAACUCUCUCAUCGAGUGCAUGAGAUACAGGUUCUGUCAGAAAGAUCAGAAGGUAUCAUUUGCUUUUCUUAUAAAGCAUCUAAACAUUUGUCCUCUAUGUAUCUCCAGUAGAAUUGGGUACAAUGGCGCUCACUCCUUGAAUAGAGACGACUGAAUUAUGUUACUUACCGUCUAGUAAACCAAAUAAUAUAGUAGAAAACAUAUGAUGUUGAUGAAUUUUGGCUC
rnacentral:lncRNA from 1 species